GUCAGCUCGUGUCGUGAGAUGUUCGGUUAAGUCCGCUAACGAGCGCAACCCUCGUCGUAUGUUAUAUGUGUCAUACGAGACUGCCGGUAAAAAGCCGGAGGAAGGUGAGGAUGAUGUCAAGUCAGCAUGACCUUUAUAUCCAGGGCUACACACACGCUACAAUGGUCUGUACAAUGGGUAGCCAAGCCGCGAGGCGGAGCCAAUCCUGAAAGCAGGCCUCAGUUCAGAUUGCAGUCUGCAACUCGACUGCAUGAAGCCGGAGUUGCUAGUAACCGCAGGUCAGCAAUACUGCGGUGAAUACGUUCCCGGGUCUU
rnacentral:rRNA from 1 species